rnacentral:rRNA from 1 species
GAUGAACGCUGGCGGCGUGCCUAAUACAUGCAAGUCGAACGAACAGACGAGGAGCUUGCUCCUCUGACGUUAGCGGCGGACGGGUGAGAAACACGUGGAUACCCCACCUAUAAUACUGGGAUAACUUCGGGAAACCGGCGCUAAUCCCGGAUAAUAUCUUGAACCGCAUGGUGCAUUAGUGAAAUUCGGCUUUGCUGUCACUUCUCGAUGGAUCCGCGCCGCAUUAGCUAGUUGGUAAGGUAACGGCUUACCAAGGCAACGAUGCGUAGCCGACCGGAGAGGGGGAUCGGCGACACUGGAGCGGGGCCGCGGACCAGACUCCUACGGGAGGCAGCAGUAGGGAACCUUCCGCAAUGGGCGAAAGCCUGACGGAGCAACGCCGCGUGAGUGAUGAAGGUCCUGGGUGCGUAAAGCUCUGUUAUUGGGGAAGAACAAAUGUGUAAGUAACCAUGCACGGCUUGACGGUACCUAAUCAGAAAGCCACGGCUAACUACGUG